CAAGUUGAUCCGGAAGUCUCUUACGGAUCAAGUUGAUCCGGAAGAGACUUACGGAUCAACUUA
rnacentral:pre_miRNA from 1 species